GCAAGAAAUACCAGCUCUAGGAGCAAAGGAAGAAUCACUGUCUCUCGAGCUCCUACCCAAGAAUACACCAUUGAAAUAUCAACCAUAGGGACCCUUUACCCCACAGGAGGGUUGAAUCAAGGCCAGUGGUAUGAAUAAGGUGGCAAUUCUGAAGGGAAGAUUUUUGUAAGGAUGGACCCACACCAGCAGAUCGCCAGCAUAUAUAAUAGGGAUACAUUACAGAUUCCCGAGUAUGAAAAAACUUCCCAGUGUACAAACCAGGUACAAAAGCAUGAGGACAGGCCCACAGAAGGAAGACGGCACACAUGUGAAUGUGGAAAGAAGUUUGCUCAGAGCUCAGGCCUUGUUCGACAUCGGAGAAUCCACACUGGAGAGAAACCCUAUGAGUGUGAUCACUGUGGAAAAGCCUUCAGUGUGCGCUCAACCCUCACAGUGCAUGAAAGAACCCACACCGGCGAGAAGCCCUAUACUUGUAAUGAGUGCAGGAAAGGCUUCAGUGUGAGGGCACACCUGAUCAUCCACCAGAGAAUCCACAAUGGGGAGAAACCCUAUGAGUGUAAUGAGUGUGGCAAAGCCUUUAGUGUGAGCUCAGACCUUAUCAAGCAUCAGAGAAUACACUCUGGUGAAAAGCCCUAUGAGUGUGUUGAGUGUGGGAAAGCCUUCAGCGUGAGCUCAGCCCUCAUCAAACAUCAGAGAAUCCAUACAGGAGAGAAGCCGUAUGAGUGUAAGGAGUGUGGGAAGGCCUUCUACGUGAACUCUGCCCUUAUCAAUCAUCAGAGGAUUCACUCUGGAGAAAAGCCCUAUGAGUGUGGAGAAUGCAGGAAAGCCUUCAGCCAAAUCUCCACCCUCAUCCAUCACCAGAGAAUCCACACUGGAGAGAAGCCGUAUGAGUGUGAGGAGUGUGGGAAAGCCUUCCGUGGGAGUUCUAAUCUUACUAAACACCAGAAAAUACAUACCAAAGGAAAGUGUCCGCAGAAGUGAGAAGUCAGUGGAAAUAACUCCAGAAUGGUAACUAAAGUUCUAAAAUCACAUCUGCUUCUGAGAUUGCCACUUUACAACUCAUAAGGUAAAGCCAUUUAAACAUAUACCAUAAUGUAGUUUACUUUGGCUUAGUAAGAGCAGACGUCAGUAAUUGAACCACUGUCUUUGUUUUUCUCGUGUACAAGCCUUUGUUAUUGUUGCUACUAGUAUCAUGGGUAAAACUGAUUAAGUUUUGAAAUUGGAAGUUGUGUUGAUUGGUGGGACAGGAACCACAUAUUCUCGUUGUAUCUGGAAAUACUAACCAAUUGAUUUUCCUUCCUUUGCCUUGGAUGUACCUCUGUUCUCUCAGGAGUAAUUAGAUAGGUGUGUUAGUAACUUCCUCCGCAGAAGAUAGACUGCCUCUUUUUAGGUAGGAAUCCAGUCGAUAAUUCUUCAGGGUCAUUCUUUCUUCACCAGCGAAGUCCCAGGCCUUUCGACUUACUGAUCCGAUAAGCCCCCUAAACUUGACUGAGCUUCCUGAACCAAAACAAACAAAACAAAAACAAAAAGCCUCUAGACGCAUCAGGUGCUCCAAACCCUUAUAUUUGGUGUUUCUCAGAGUGCGGUAUGGCAUCUGCAGAUUCAGGAGGUGUGAGGAUGGACAGACUCGGGAGCUGUUGUUGAGCUGAGUUGGCAUUGGUUGUAGGGUGACUUUCAAGGAUCUGUUUGAGUGACUCCUUGAAGUUUGAUGCCUGCUAACAACACGGAGUGUGGUGGACUCGAGAAGUGGUAGGAAGUGAUUUCUAACUCCUGGGUAACAGGCCUGAAAUUCUUUUGAUCCUUGAAGCUAAAUCACGUGCAGUUGAAGAUGAACACCAAAUUAAUAGAACUUGCAGAUUGCUUUGGUCCACAGUGUAGAUAGGCAGAAGGAAACAUUCUCUGGGAAGGUGAAAUGGUGUUCACUCCUCAGAGUAGGAUGACUGUGCUGUACAGGAAUGCGCAGUUUCCAGAAUUUCUCAUCCGCCCUUCCGGCCACUCAGCCCAUAGACACGCUGGGGUCCGUGAAGCUUUGUACCAGCUUGUGCUGCCAAGCACUGAAGUCUGAGAUGCAUAUGGAAAAGCAUGUCACGGAGUCUCCGAUACUGAGGAUGGAGCUUUGCAGGCAGACUCUUCUGGGAUCAGCACUGAAGAGAUGCCACAUCCCACCCCAAACCAGCACAGCUGAAUCCCAAGCACUAAUUGACGGUGACUCCUGGCCGUAAACAAGGUUCCAUUUCAAAGCAGAGUUUUGCAGAAGUUCAUCACCAAGUGAGGGAGGAGCCUCUUUGAAGAAUCACAGGUUAUAUUGCUUCAAGCCAAGCAGAGUAUCUCUCUGAGAAAGAGACCUAAGGCACUUGGGAGAACUUGCUCUGAAGUUUACUUCUGUCCCUGCUCUGGAAGUGGGAAAUUCUCCCUUCACCUUGCGUACAGUUUCAACUUGUAAUAAACUAAUAAAAGAAGCAGCUGUUUAGUAAAAUGAGUGAUCUCAAGUGUCUGUCUCUAAUAAUACAAACCCUGGAACACCAGCAGUCUGCAUGCAAGCACCAGCAUGUCCAGAUCUGAGGAGACCCUACGAGUCAUCACAGUCUGGAAGGACCUUCAGUGUAAAGCCAAGUCCCAUUUCACUACACAACAGAGAAGCCAUCCCAAAGAAGAGUCCCAGCGGAGUAAAGAGUGUGGCGAAGACCUCAGGUACCAGACUGGUCUUGUCAGAUACCAGAGAACUGUUGGGAAUACCUUCAGUUUGUAAACAUUCCUUGUGAGCUCAAGUCUCAUUAAAUAUAAGUUCACUUUGGACAGGAGCAAGUAGGGAGGUCUUCAUUUAGAAAGAGUGCUUGUUACCACAAAACCCAUAAAUAUAAAAAUGUGGGAAGGCCUUCACUAAAAUCAGUCUUCUGUAUUGGUAAAUCCACACCAGAGCAAAACCCUGAUGUGCGACUGCUCUGGGGACACUUUCAGCAUUAGCUCAAUUCUAAAAGUGUAUCAAAGAUGCCAUACAGAGAAAAGUUCUGUGAGUGUAAGUGAUCCAGAAAAGCCUUCAUAGUUCAGAUCUUACCAAACACUGGUCUGCAUUAGAGAGGAGCCUUAUGCGUGGGACGAGUGUGGGAAAACCUUUCAAUGAACUUGUCUCUUACCAGACAUCAGAGAAUACAAAACAAAUAUAAAU